UCGAAAACUCCUUUUCGACUUAUGUGUACACCUUGGCCAAGGAUUUCAUCAUUGACUUAAUUGAAUGAAACGCAGAUCAUAAUCUCCUACUAUCUAAGAGUGACGAAUCCUUUAUUGAUCAAUCACAACCUUCAUACGAUUCUUGACGUACCCGAACGAUGUCGUAUUAGCGGCCCUUUUCAGAGCAACAUCCAACACCGUCAAAGUAUGACUGUCCUCAUAUAAGGUACCAUGACGACCUCAAGUCAAAGGACCAAUUUCACUACCGAACGUUAGAGAUUAACCACCGACACUCAGAUAGUUAUCCAUGUGGAAUCUCUCGACGGGUCUCCAAUGUUUUGUUCUAUAACAAACAUCCACGUGUUCAUUUAAGUGUCACCACACUUUAACUUGUGAGAUCAGCUACUUACUUCACAAGUAAGAAAUGCCACACGUG
rnacentral:lncRNA from 1 species